rnacentral:rRNA from 1 species
UGGGGAAUAUUGCACAAUGGGCGCAAGCCUGAUGCAGCCAUGCCGCGUGUAUGAAGAAGGCCUUCGGGUUGUAAAGUACUUUCAGCGGGGAGGAAGGCGAUAAGGUUAAUAACCUUGUCGAUUGACGUUACCCGCAGAAGAAGCACCGGCUAACUCCGUGACAGCAGCCGCGGUAAUACGGAGGGUGCAAGAGUUAAUCGGAAUUACUGGGCGUAAAGCGCACGCAGGCGGUCUGUCAAGUCGGAUGUGAAAUCCCCGGGCUCAACCUGGGAACUGCAUUCGAAACUGGCAGGCUAGAGUCUUGUAGAGGGGGGUAGAAUUCCAGGUGUAGCGGUGAAAUGCGUAGAGAUCUGGAGGAAUACCGGUGGCGAAGGCGGCCCCCUGGACAAAGACUGACGCUCAGGUGCGAAAGCGUGGGGAGCAAACA